GUUUAUGGAAGGAAAAUAUUGUGUAUUUUUGGGUGUUUGGAAAGCCCCAGAAUGGUGGAUUUUACUAAUAGAAGUUUGUUGCCCUGCUCAUGAGCUACUUUGCUUCUGUAGGUAUCCACCAAGCUCCCAAGUGGGCUAGCACAUAGUGCAGGCUGAAGAGUGAGCAGGAUGAGUGAGCCCACGUCUUAUCUCUGCAGGAUCCUCUUCUUACACAUUGACUUCAUCAGCAGGCUUCUGGUGAAAGACAGUGAUGGCAAGUGACUGAAAUCCAAGAUGAUGAUCCAUUGGCUUCCCCCAAAUCAAGGAGGGGCCAACUAACCAAGCCACGAGAGGCAUGACACUGCUGCUGGGCCUCACGAAUGGUCUGGAACCAAGGGAUGGGUCGGUGAUAUUCUUCUGGCAGAAAAGGCGGGCAUCAACUUGCACAAGGUAGACCUCUCAUUGGCUCAGCUUGGGUCAGGUGACUGCUCCUGGACUACGGGAUUGGUUCAUCUGGAAACCGGGCUGCCAUAGGAACCAUAGGGUCCAGAGGGGCGGGGUAUUAACAGGAAAACUAGGAGUUCCGUUUUCAGAGGAAGGAGAGUGGUCUGGGCAGACAAAACUGUUAAGAUAUGGGGAGAUGUGGCCGUGCCUGGUCAGCCUUCCUGAACCACACAUUGGCUGGAUUGCUGUGGGUGGGGCAGACUUUGUUGCUACAGAACCCCAGACCCCGCUGUUACCCACUGGAGUUAUUUACAAGGCCUGCCGGAUGCCUGUACGUCAGUGGCUUCAAUCCGGCCACUCUCAUUGGCUUGCUGCUCCUGGAGUUGCCCAUGCUGAGAACCGUUCUGUUCCACCCAGCCAGCAGCCAGUGGAAAUUUCCUGACCCCUCCUGGGCCUGAAGCCCCAGAGCCAGGACCGGACCUUUGUGGAUACUGAUGGCUGGAGAAAAUGUCUGUAAGACUCUCAGUAGAGAAAUGCUAGGUGCAAAACUGCACAGGGCCUAUCAUCCUAGGGUAAUUUAGAAAUACGUGCAUAUAAAAU
rnacentral:lncRNA from 1 species